UACGAAGGGGGCUAGCGUUGCUCGGAAUUACUGGGCGUAAAGGGCGCGUAGGCGGAUGUUUAAGUCAGAGGUGAAAGCCCAGGGCUCAACCUUGGAACUGCCUUUGAUACUGGGCAUCUUGAGUACGGGAGAGGUGAGUGGAACUCCGAGUGUAGAGGUGAAAUUCGUAGAUAUUCGGAAGAACACCAGUGGCGAAGGCGACUCACUGGCCCGUUACUGACGCUGAGGCACGAAAGCGUGGGGAGCAAACAGG
rnacentral:rRNA from 1 species